CCGAACCUCAACCUCGUGCUGGGAUAACUGCUCCCUGAUUUGGAGGAAAGCCUCGUGAUGCAAUACCGAGUCCUGCAAGUGUAAAGAAAGGUGUUAGGAUUAUUCACAACUUCAAAAUUUAAAAUAAGUAAUGAAGUGACACUCGAAGUUACUCGAUUCAAAGCAUGUUGGCCAUAAUUGAAUAGGCAAGGCACUUCCAUCGCAUCCAUCAUGGCCUGAUCCUCCUCGGUCACCAAGCAACGGAGGUAGCUAGCAACCCCCACAGGGACAGAGAAAAUUCGGGCAUCCUCCAGGACAAAAAAAGUUAUCAACCACCUACAGUCAGGGUUAACACUUGGGGCCAGGAAUUGAUCCACCAGUUUUGGGCUCGAUGAAGACCUAGUGACACCCGAUGACUGUACCUUCCUUGGUACAGGCAAGUCACCAAGACCGGUGACAUCUGUCACACCUCCUAAGUGACAAUCGAAAUGUGAUUAUCUAUAUUAAAUUCAGAGUCACCACUUGGGAUAGUUUAUGGUGUCCCAAGUCAUCGGUUAAGAUCCCGAAUCAAGGAAAUUGACUCAAUUUAUGGUGUGCGAACACAGAAAUUCGGGUAAGGAAUUCUGUUAAUCCGGGAGAAGGUAAUAGGCAUUCUCAGGCUCUGUGAUUUUAACAUGGUCGCUUUGAUCAUACUUUGGCUUAAUUAGAUUGUUUAACUACUCAUUUUAGAACAUAUGUGCAUUUUUCUUUUUACCGUUUUAAUUAAGAAAUUAUACUAAAGAGAGUCAUGCGUACGUGUACUCAUUUUGUUUGGCGCAUCAAAAAUCAUGUCACACGUACGUGUCCACAAUUAAUCAUGCUUUAUUAAUAUUAAGAAUGUUUAAUCAAAGUUGUGCGAACGCAUACCUCGGUUUUUGUUUUUAAGAUCGUAAUUAUGUCACGCAAACAUGUACAUAACCACGAUGGUAUAUUGAACGGCGCCUAAAUCAAGCUACGAAUAUUCAUUUUAGAAACCAUAAUCAUGUCACGCGAACGUGUACAUAAUCACGAUAAUAAAUUCAAAACCCGCCUAAGGGUUUGCCUACCUGAGUGUGGCUGGCUAACCAUGCUCCUAGCUGUUAUGGAAGAAUAUUAGAGAUAAUAAAAUAAACUAAAAUAAAUAAAUGAAGAUCAGUUCAUGCUAAUUUCUUUGAAUUCUGUUCAAACCCCAAAGCCCAUGGUCCGUUUUGCCUUAAACAAAUUGUGGUUUUUCUUUAGUUACUAUUCCUAACUUUGGCAAAAGAAAUUACGGAACCAAUUAAGCCCAAAGAAAUAUUCAAACAUACAAUCAACAAUAGAAAAUAUUAUGUUUCUCACUACAAACAUGUUCAAGAAUAAUCAGUGGAAAAGAAUGGACCAAAGCUUCUCUCAAUAAAGUCCAAAUCAUCACUACAUCAAUGUAUUUUCUAAUGAACAUAGACUUUGUUACUAAGAUGUUUAAAAUAUUUCAUCAGGAUGGAGCAGCAGAGAAUUAAAUCAACAUUCAACCAAAACAUAGCAAAAUAUAUUCACAAGAUUACCAAAUCAUGAAAAUAAGCCGACAUAGUAAAACAAGGAGAAAUGGACCUCAAUGGAGAGAGUUUCUUCUAGAUUAGAGGAACUUCGGGCUUAUAGUUUUGUCCAAAUAAAUAGAGACAACAUUCAACAAUAAAAAUCGAGUAUCAACCGGAAAAACUCAGCAGAAACGUGAAUCGGCCUAGGAACAUCGACUAAAACCAGCUCCAUCUUAACAGGAAAAUUCAGACCCGAAAUUGGACUUAAAAAUCGGAACCGUUGACAGUAAACCAACAACGAAUUAGCAUCGAGACUCAUGAAUGACAACUGGAAGAGCUUUGAAUUCCAAAAUCGAAUCUGGUACUCAAACAAACCCCACAAUCAUAGUGAAAUUCGACAUUGGAGAGGAAAACAUUGAUUUUUUUUUAGUAUUUGGAGUUGAAGACAAUUGAAAAUUGAAUGAAAAAACAAAAAAAUACUAAUCUCUGAAACUAUUACUAAGAUGUAAGGUAAAAUUUCUUUUACAUAUCAAAAAGCUAAAACGGAAAAUCAGCUUAGAAGAGGUGGAAAUCGGAAACCCAACACAACCUCGUAUUUGCUCUGUUUCUGCGUACUGUUUGUGUAUAUGGGGGUCGCCGUUUAUAGCUUUUUUAGGUGGACUCUAGUAGUGGUUGUGGUGGUCGUUUGGUCGCUGGUGUGAGGUCGGGUCGAAAAAGACGAACAACUAUUUAUGGUGUGCUAAAGGAUUUGGUGGUUUGGAGAGGAGAUGGAGGGGUCUGGUCGACGAUGGUCAGAGGAUGAGGUUAGAGGAUAUGGCUGGGUGGGUUUUUUCUGGAGAUGAAGAAAGGGGGGGUAAGAUGAAGAAGAAGAUGUUCAGGGGGCGGGUCGUUUGUGUUCUGCGGCGGAUUUGAUCUUAAGGGUCUAGUGUCUAGUCUCUUUAGGCUAAUUUUUUGGUUAUAUAGAAAUAAUUUUUAGGUUAAGG
rnacentral:lncRNA from 1 species